CCUACGUAUGCAAGUCGAACGCACUGACGUCGACUGAAGCUGCUUGCAGUGGAUGUUGAUUGACGUGAGUGGCGGACGGGUGAGUAACACGUGGGUAACCUACCCUUAAGUGGGGGAUAACAUUUGGAAACAGAUGCUAAUACCGCAUAACCAUUCAGACCACAUGGUCUGAAUGGAAAAGACGGCCUUUGGCUGUCACUUUUGGAUGGACCCGCGGCGUAUUAGUUAGUUGGUAAGGUAACGGCUUACCAAGACAAUGAUACGUAGCCGACCUGAGAGGGUGAUCGGCCACAUUGGGACUGAGACACGGCCCAAACUCCUACGGGAGGCAGCAGUAGGGAAUCUUCCACAAUGGACGGAAGUCUGAUGGAGCAACGCCGCGUGAGUGAAGAAGGUUUUAGGAUCGUAAAACUCUGUUGUUGGAGAAGAACAGGGACUAGAGUAACUGUUAGUCCUUUGACGGUAUCCAACCAGAAAGCCACGGCUAACUACGUGCCAGCAGCCGCGGUAAUACGUAGGUGGCAAGCGUUGUCCGGAUUUAUUGGGCGUAAAGCGAGCGCAGGCGGUUUUUUAAGUCUGAUGUGAAAGCCUUCGGCUUAACCGAAGAAGUGCAUUAGAAACUGGGAAACUUGAGUGCAGAAGAGGACAGUGGAACUCCAUGUGUAGCGGUGAAAUGCGUAGAUAUAUGGAAGAACACCAGUGGCGAAGGCGGCUGUCUGGUCUGUAACUGACGCUGAGGCUCGAAAGUAUGGGGAGCGAACAGGAUUAGAUACCCUGGUAGUCCAUACCGUAAACGAUGAAUGCUAAGUGUUGGAAGGGUUUCCGCCCUUCAGUGCUGCAGCUAACGCAUUAAUCAUUUCCGCCCUGGGGAGUACGACCGCAAGGUUUG
rnacentral:rRNA from 2 species